UAUAUUUAAUAUUAUAGUAAUGCUUGGGUAGUAGUAAUUUUAAUUUUUGAAACUCAAAGAAUUUGGCGGUGUUUUAGUCCUUUUAGAGGAAUCUGUCCUAUAAUUGAUAAUACACGAUUUGUUUUACUUGAUUUAUAUUAAUUUGUAUAUCGCCGUCAUAAGAUUAUUUUUAUUUUGAGAAUUAUUAAUUUUCUUGAUUUUAUAUUAAAAAGUAUGUCAGGUCAAGGUGCAGUUUAUAAUUAAGGUAGAGAUGGAUUACAAUAAUUUUAUUAUUAUUAUGGAUAAUUUUUAUUUAAUUUUGAUUUGAAGGUGGAUUUAAUUGUAAGUUUAUUAUUAAUUUUUAUUUUGAUUUGGGCUCUAAAAUGUGUACAUAUCGCCCGUCGCUCUCACUUUAAAAUUGAG
rnacentral:rRNA from 1 species